GACGAACGCUGGCGGCGUGCCUAAUACAUGCAAGUAGAACGCUGAAGGAGGAGCUUGCUUCUCUGGAUGAGUUGCGAACGGGUGAGUAACGCGUAGGUAACCUGCCUGGUAGCGGGGGAUAACUAUUGGAAACGAUAGCUAAUACCGCAUAAUAGUAGAUGUUGCAUGACAUUUGCUUAAAAGGUGCAAUUGCAUCACUACCAGAUGGACCUGCGUUGUAUUAGCUAGUUGGUGGGGUAACGGCUCACCAAGGCGACGAUACAUAGCCGACCUGAGAGGGUGAUCGGCCACACUGGGACUGAGACACGGCCCAGACUCCUACGGGAGGCAGCAGUAGGGAAUCUUCGGCAAUGGACGGAAGUCUGACCGAGCAACGCCGCGUGAGUGAAGAAGGGUUUCGGAUCGUAAAGAUCUGUUGUAAGAGAAGAACGAGUGUGAGAGUGGAAAGUUCACACUGUGACGGUAUCUUACCAGAAAGGGACGGCUAACUACGUG
rnacentral:rRNA from 1 species